AACGAACGCUGGCGGCAGGCUUAACACAUGCAAGUCGAACGAGAUCUUCGGAUCUAGAGGCAGACGGGUGAGGAACACGUGGGAACAGCACUUUCAGUUCGGAAUAACAUUGGGAAACUAACGCUAAUACCGGCUACGUCCUUCGGCAGAAAGAUUUAUCGCUGAAAGAUUGGCCCGCGUCUGAUUAGUUAGUUGGUGAGGUAACGGCUCACCAAGGCUACGAUCAGUAGCUGAUCUGAGAGGAUGAUCAGCCACAUUGGGACUGAGACACGGCCCAGACGCCUACGGGAGGCAGGAGUGGGGAAUAUUGGGCAAUGGGGGAAACCCUGACCCAGCAACGCCGCGUGAAGGAAGAAGGUUUUCGGAUUGUAAACUUCUGUCCUUGGUGAAGAGAAGAAGACGGUAGCCAAGGAGGAAGCCCCGGCUAACUACGUGCCAGCAGCCGCGGUAA
rnacentral:rRNA from 1 species